rnacentral:lncRNA from 1 species
CCACCUCCUGCACGCUUGCUUGCAGGCACGAAUGCGCUUGCAAGCAAGCAAGCUGGCGCUUGGAAGUUGGAAUCCACCCGGUCCGCUCAUCAGUUCAGCAUGGUCUCCGUGGGGAGCAGGAUCCUGGAGUCGAAGGCGGCGGCGGUGGAGUUGAGCAUCCAGGUGUAGAAGGGGUGGAAGACGACGGCGUCGGGGCAGCUGAGCGUCGCCGGCAGCUUGGGGCACUCGAUGAAUGACUUGCCGUCCGUGCUCGCGCAGAGGUAAAUCUCGUACAGCUGCUUCUUCCCGAAGGGCCCGUCCUUGCACUGCAGCCCCGGCGCGACGCCGAGCUUCUUGGUGAUGGCCGACUUGAUCUUCGCCGUGGCGUAGAGCUUGUAGUCCGGCUUGAUGCCCUGGUCGGCCAGCGCGGCGAGGAUGCCCGCCUGCGUCCUCAGGCCGAGGGCGGCCUUGAAGUAGUCCAGCUGCGCCAGGCCCGAGCAGACGCCGUAGCUGUUCCACUCGCUCUUCCAGGUGUUCAUGCCGUCGGUGGGCGGGCACUUGAUGUUGCUCCAGUAGUGGUUGAUGCCGUUCUCAAUCUUGUUCAUCUGACCGGUCGACCGAUCGAUCGAUGCAUGGGAUGAGCAUGAUAUCGUGUGAGAUAAAUUAAAGCUAGGUAGGGGUUUGCAAGCAUGGAUAAUUAAGGGCCGGGGGUUUAAUUUAGAGAAUCGAAGAUGUGAGUAGUUAACCUUGCGGUUGUCGAAGGGUGCACCGUUCCUGCACCUGACGAUGGGCUUGUUAAUGGACAGGUCGAAGGUUUGGAAGCUCUUCACGAAGAAAUCCUCCGCCGGGUAGCCGUACUUGGGCACGCAGCAGCCGUUGUCGCUGUCCUCGCAGUAUGCUCCAGG